rnacentral:rRNA from 1 species
GCGAUUUUAUUAUCUCAAAUGUAGCAUCAAGCGGAUACAAAACAUUAUGAGUAACACCCGGCCUCUGCAUAACUAGGAUACACACAGCCAAACACCAAAGUCUGACACUAGAAAAAGUAAGAAAACGGACAAUACGACAACAGUAGAGUCCUAUGGACCGACACUUUGCCUAUGUCGAACUCGGCGGUGGAUGGAUCCGGAGGUUAUGCUGCCACCCAUGUUGGGAAAAAACCUCCAUAGCCGCCUGCUCCAACCGCAUACACAGCGCCUUGAACAGCGGUUGGUGCUCCGCCUGUUGUAGCGUAGACCACGUACGAAGCGAGUGCGUACAACGGAAAAUAACCUGCAGAGGAGAAGCAUUUUUAUCAUUAAAAAUCAAAUCAUUUCUACAUAGACAAAGCGACCAUAGUAAGGCAUACGCCCCCACCCUUAUUAGCGUUUUAAAACUAUUUGAAAUUCCGUCCAACCAAUGACCAAAUAUAUUGGCAAUACUCGUUGGCGGAUACAAAUUUGACGCUAUUUGGAUGACUGACCAUGUAGACCGUGCAAACUUGCAUUGAAAAAAGAGGUGUUUGAUUGUCUCGUCAUGAGCACAAAAGCAACACUUCUUACUUCCUGGCCAGUUGCGCUGUGCAAGAUUGUCUUUGGUUAGCACAACUCCCCUACGAAGAUACCACAUAAAGAUUUUAACUUUUAGUGAAAUCUUUGACUUCCAGAUUUUCUUGUUAUUAUUCACUGGCACCUCGGAAUGCAUAAGCGCACGGUACAUCGAGUCUACUGUGUAAGACCCUGAUGUUGUGAGUUUCCAGUGAAACACAUCCCGACCUUGUGUCAGAUUAAUCGAAUCCAGACGGGAUAAAAGAUUAUGCCAUGACAAAAGUCGGGGGCCAAUCAAAUCCCGCCUGAACGAAAUAUUCGGUGGGGAUGAACUAAGCACUUGCGCAAUAGUAUUACUCUUAUCGUGAGCAAUGGCGUAUAAGGCUGGGUAUUGCUCUCGGAGACUGGCAUUGCCUAGCCAUAUGUCUUCCCAGAAACGAACCUCUGACCCAUCCUUUAUCGCGAAAGACCCAAAGCGAAAAAGAUGUUUCUUUGCCACCAUUAGGCCAGCUCAAAAGUGUGAGUCACCAGGUUUCCAAUAAGCCUGAGACACCGCCUUUUGGCCUAGGUACUUGUUGCGCAAUAUGGUUUGCCAAACACCAUUCUCAGUAAAAAGUUUGAACAACCAUUUACUAAGUAGGGCCUCAUUCUUGACCUGCAGGUCAUGAAUUCCAAGGCCACCUUGGUCUUUCGGCCUACAAACCACGCUCCAUUUUGCCAGCCUAUAUUUUUUCUUUUCACCGUCUCCCUGCCAAAAGAAUCUGGAUCUAAAAUAGUCCAAUCUUUGGAGGACCCCUUUUGGGAGUUGGAAGAAAGAAAGCAUAUAGAGAACCAUAUUUGUGAGCACAGAGUUAAUUAAAACCAACCGUCCUCCAACUGAGAGCAACUUGCCUUUCCAACUGCUCAGUCGUUUCUCUAGACGCUCCUCAACAUGCUUCCACUCCGCAAUGGUGAGACGCCGAUAGUGAACU